rfam:Homo sapiens chromosome 1, GRCh38 reference primary assembly.
GCCAGGCGUGGUGGCUCACGCCUGUAAUCCCAGCACUUUGGGAGGCUAAGGCAGGAGGAUCACUUGAGGCCAGGAGUUCAAGACCAGCCUGGCCAACAUGGUGAAACCCUGUCUCUA